AUUACCUAAGGAAAAAAUUGCACAAUUUUGAAGAGUGAAAUAAUUUCUUUGAACCAUUAAUUUUGAAGUCAGAUUGAUUAAAAGGGUGUAAUUGAGUGCGGGUAAAAUGCACGUAGAGACGACGCUUUAACUUCGAGACAAUCGCAGCCCCAAAUCACCUUUAAAUGGUGUUUGUUAUGCCACACUUUCCUACUUUGGCCACCCAGAAUAAAGGAAUGUUUUAAGGAACAGUUAAAUAAUAAGAGGAACAAAAACCAGGCAGAAACAUGACGGUAGUAAAAGAUCCUCGAGAUUAGUUUAAAUUAAAGAGUGAAUGUAAUGAGCAAAAUGCAGAUAAACCCUUAUCAGAGUAACUAAAAUCAAAUGUUGAUUAUAUCUAAUUAAUAUUGAA